rfam:Rattus norvegicus chromosome 12, whole genome shotgun sequence.
GGGGAUGUAGCUCAGUGGUAGAGCACUUGCCUAGCAAGCACAAGUGCCUGGGUUCGGUCCCCAGCUCCG